rnacentral:pre_miRNA from 1 species
UUUAUCCAAUUCUCAGGAUUCUUGCUCAGGGUUUACUAAAUAUGAAAUAUGUACAACCGUGAGUGGAGACCUGAGGGUUGGUCAGU